UCGGCUCUUAAAGGCGCCGCGCUCUGGGCCCUGGGGCCGCUGGCAUUCGGCCGGCAGGCGAUUUGGGGGCCCCCGAGGGACCCCUCCUCAAAAAGCUGUGACGACUUAGGGCGGUUCUAGCCGUCCCCUGCGCAGCCACUGUCGACGAAGCCCUCGCCUGUGCCUGCGCGCGGCCAAGCCCGGAAGCUGCGCGAAGACUCGCCGAGAGCUGGGCGGCGGUGUGAGUCCGUUUCCCGGGAGGAACCGGGGCCCAGGGCAGCGAAAGGCCUUCGUGGGUCACACCCCGCUGAGGAGGGGUUAUUCCCAGACGCCUUGCUUGGGACCCAGUGAAAUGCCACCUCUCCGCCAAGAGACAAGUGCGGGCAGCGCCUUGGCGAUCGCAGGAUCCGCGCACGGACCGGGAAACUGAGUCGCACGAGGUGCUUCCCCAGCAUGUCACAGAGAUGGAGCCACAUGACCUCCAUGGUGACCCUUCAGUUGGCCUGAUGCCCUUGUGAACCCCCUAGGGGGCCUUGCGAGCCCGUGGUCUGUUCCGUGGACAGGGUCAUUGGUAGCCAGUGUUUUGAGGCUCCCUCUCCGCUGUGUGGGGAUGGACUCAGCAGGGAAGAUCAAGGACACCAGCUCUGGAGUCAAUAGGUCUGGCUGUGCUGCCAGCUCUGCUGUGUGACCUGGGGGUACUCGUGUAACAGCUUCGGGCAAGGAGUUAGCGAGGGGACGCAGGAGAAGGCUCCAGACUGCUGCCCUGGGCACGUCAGUGCUGUCACGUGUCCCUCUGCCCUGCAGUCCCAGAAAUCUCAGCCUCAAGGCCGCCCUGGAUCAGACAGAGCCCCUGCCUCCACAGCCUUCUCUCAGCCCAGCCUGGAUCACUGCUGCUGUCCCCCUGGCUUCCCUGCUGGCCUCCUGGCGUCCCCUCCGAUCAUGUCACCUCCGAGCCUAGUGGCCUCAUCUGUAACAGGGCAGCGAUGGCCCCAACCGCUCAGGGCUUUUUCCUUCAUCAGGCAGGCUUCCUUCCUUCUCCUGCCCCAGCUUUAAUGAGGCACGAUGCACGUGGAAUAAAAUUCACCUUUCAGUG